UCAAAGCUGCGGCAAUAAUCCCAGAUAGGUAGAUAUGGGGUAUUUGACUCACAGCUGCGGCACACAUGCAUAACGCUCAUGAUGAUCAAUAGUCUAGUCCACCCUCGCAAAUCAACGUUUCCUUCGGUAUAUAUAUACAUAUACAUAUAGUUAUCUGCAUAUCGGAAACUCUAAUCUCGAACCUUUUUACAGAGAGCAGGAGAAGCAAUUUGCAGCAGGCGAUUUACUCCGAAUUAUUAAGCAAGUGACGAUUUAUAGUCGAUUCGACAUUUUUUGAAGAAAUUUUGAAAAGCUAAAAAGUCCAGAUCGAACUCAGUCUGCAUUUUUAUGCUGUUUAUCCUUUCAGCUUUUUGGUGAUAGCAGCGCCGAUUCAGAUUUUAACCCAAAACUAGGACAGAUGCCUGCUGGUGAAGCUCAUCAUGCUCUCUCCAUUGACGAAAGAUUGGCCAAGCCUCAGUAGUACUCCAAUUGAUCAAGAGUGUUGUGUAUUUAAAGUGCACCGCAGUUUACGCCAGAUAAAUCCCGCGGCAUAUGAACCUGAUCUGCUUGCCAUCGGUCCUUAUCACCGUGGAAAGGAUCACCUUAGUUUUAUGGAAAAGCACAAAUUGAUAAUUCUCCAACGAAUGCUUAAAAGAAGGAAUGAGAACAGCGCAAAAAGAUACAUCACAGCCAUGAUAGAAAAGGAAGAAAGAGCUCGUAGAUUCUAUGCAGAUCAGUUCCCUGAAUUAUCCAAAGUUGAGUUUGUAGAAAUGAUGCUACUUGAUGGGUGUUUCAUCAUUGAGUUGUUCCGUGAUAGGUCCCAACACAGAGGAUAAACUAAAUAUGCUAGGAUAGUUGUUCUCUUCGGGUGAGAAGGUACCACAAUUUGACUCAACAAUGAUUGAUGCUUCAUUAAUAAUUCUCUUCUACUUAAAUAGCAGAAUUACACCGAAAUAAAAGGAAACAAUAAAGCAAACUUGCGGACUAACUUGCGGAACAAUAAUGGAAAAUGCGGACUGACUUGCGGACUAAGAACCGAAACUGCAGCUCACGAAACAGAGCCUAAAACAGAAUAAAAACAGAGCUUAAAAAUAGAAUGCUUAAAAAUAGAAUGACACUAACGGAAAUCAUCCGCUUCGUGCGGACUUCAUGCGCGCUUCAUGCGUAUAAGCUCACUGACCAGUUAUGCAUGCUACGCUCGUGCGCACUUCAUGCGCGCCUCAUGCGUAUAUGCUCACGGACCCAGUCCUGCUCACUGACCCAGUCACGCUGCAUGCCUUCUUCACG